rnacentral:rRNA from 1 species
GGCGGCGUGCCUAACACAUGCAAGUCGUGCGAGAAGUUCCUUCGGGAGCGAGUAAAGCGGCGCACGGGUGAGGUAACACGUAGGUAACCCUGCCCCCCAGUCUGGAACAACUAGAGGAAACUCUAGCUAAUGCCGGAUGAGACCACGAUCCCUUCGGGGGUUGCGGCCAAAGAUGGCCUCUACUUGUAAGCUAUCGCUGAGGGAUGGGCCUGCGGGCCAUUAGCUUGUUGGUGAGGUAGCGGCUCACCAAGGCUGUGAUGGCUAGCUGGUCUGAGAGGAUGACCAGCCACACUGGGACUGAGACACGGCCCAGACUCCUACGGGAGGCAGCAGUGGGGAAUAUUGCGCAAUGGGCGAAAGCCUGACGCAGCGACGCCGCGUGGGUGAUGAAGGCCUUCGGGUCGUAAAGCCCUGUCGCAGGGGAAGAAUAAGCAUCGGUAUAAUACGCCGGUGCCCUGACGGUACCCUGCAAGAAAGCACCGGCUAACUCCGUG